CUCUUAUUUGUAGGGAUUCGAAGAAUCUGAAUCUAAUAGAUUGGUUAACGAAGAAGUUGCUCCAGAAAUACAUUGUUCCCGAGAAAGAAGUCGAGCUGCUUGGCAGAUUAUUCAAGAUUAUUUGACUCCGUUUGUGGAACGGGAAAGAUAUCAAAUUCCAAAGACAUGUAGGCUACAUCCUGAUAAUGAUUUAUACAGAGAUCAGGAACUGCACAAGAUUCAUGUCGAUAUCUUCGAAUGGAAAUGUGGUUACUGCAAGAAAAGUUUCA